GAUGGAUCAGUAACCUAUGACGUGUGUCUGUGUGGAGGCCCCACCCACCUCCAUAUAUGGACCAAUAGGAAACAGGAUGAGGAACACUCCUGUGUAUAUACACCAAUGGGAAUUAGGAGGAGGAGCUGAAAGUUGAUUCUCAGAGCAGGAACUGAGACAAACACACAGACCUGCUGUACCUGGACUGACCCUCACCUGUCACUGACCACCACGCUCCUAUAGACCUGCUGUACCUGGACUGACCCUCACCUGUCACUGACCACCACCCUCCUAUAGACCUGCUGUACCUGGACUGACCCUCACCUGUCACUGACCACCACGCUCCUAUAGACCUGCUGUACCUGGACUGACCAUCACCUGUCUGACCACCACCCUCCUAUAGACCUGCUGUACCUGGACUGACCCUCACCUGUCACUGACCACCACGCUCCUAUAGACCUGCUGUACCUGGACUGACUCUCACCUGUCACUGACCACCACACUCCUAUAGACCUGCUGUACCUGGACUGACCCUCACCUGUCACUGACCACCACGCUCCUAUAGACCUGCUGUACCUGGACUGACUCUCACCUGUCACUGACCACCACGCUCCUAUAGACCUGCUGU